CAAUAGCGUAUAUUAAAGUUGUUGCAGUUAAAAAGCUCGUAGUUGGAUUUCUAGAUAAGUGGGUACUUGUACUUUGCUUGUCUACCAGUCAUAGACUGUUACUGUGAGAAAAUUAGAGUGUUUCAAGCAGGCUGUUGCAGGAAUACAUUAGCAUGGAAUAACGAAUGUGUCUGGAAUAUUGGUUAAUUCUAGAUUACGAUUAAUAGGGACAGUUGGGGGAGUUAGUAUUAAUUGUCAGAGGUGGAAAUUACUUGGAUUUAUUUAAAGAACUAACGUAAUGCGAAAGACAUUUCUCAAGGAUGUUUUCUAUUAAUUCAAGAAACGAAAAGAAUUGGGGAGUCAAAGAACGAUCAGAUACCGU
rnacentral:rRNA from 1 species